rnacentral:lncRNA from 1 species
AUUACUCUGACAUUUCACAUUCUUAAAAUAAAAUGGUGAUCCUAACUGACUAAGACAGGACAUUUCUACUAGGAUUAAAUGUCAGGAAUUGUGAAACUGAGUGUAAAUGUAUUUGGCUAAGGUGUAUGUAAACUUCCGACUUCAACUGUAUAUAUAAUAAUAAUAAUUAUAAUAAAAAUAAUAAUAUGGGUAAGUUUGCGUUUGAUAUGCUAAAUUACACAUUCUGUUAACAUCUGACUCCAGAGUGAUCUAUUCUAGUUUGGAUGUAGUGAACUACUUUUCCAAAGUAACUUUAGCUAAGUAAACUAUACAUUUCUUAAGGGUAGCUUUAGUGUAGUUUAACGUCUUCCAGUGUGAAGUAAUUGGUAGCUUGGUAAACUAUAUUUUCAGAGUAGCUUACCCAAAACUGAAUAGGAUGCAGACAGUUACCUUAAAUAAAUCAUAGUUAUGUGCUCUUGAUAUUGAAGCAAACUCUCACCAUAUUUGGCUGCCUUAGAUCCAGCUCCUGUAAAAUAGAGCGAUGCAAGAAACUGAAAUUAGCAUUGGCAUCAGAUGAAAUAACUUAUCCUUAAAAAAAUAAGAAUAUUUAAGUGAACUCCUUCUGUAUUUCAAACGCCAAAUGCGUAGCCAUGCAGAGUGUAGGAUGGGAGGUAGCCAGAAGGAGGGACCUGGUGGGGGGGAGGAGUGAGUGUACACAUAUCUAGCACAUUCUACACGUGUAUGAUAUGUAAGAUAUCAUGUGGAAAGAUAGGAGAAUGCCCCCACACACUGUUUAGAUGCUCUCAGAGUUUGUUGAGGACCAGAUUCAAUGUUUAUGUCAAUAUGGUCAAAAUUUUGCAACAUCAAAACAGCUAGGAGUAUUUAAAAACUUGUCAGCAAGUAUUCUCCUUUCUUUUCCUUUAUGUCUCUAACUCACCUCCUGGGUAGGCACCUCCUACUCCUAGGCCAGCCCCUGGGUACCGCCCUCCACCUGGGUAACCCCCUGGGUAUCCAUACCCACCUGAGCCAGGGACGCCCCCUGCCCCAGGUACGCCUCCUGCUCCGGCUCCGAAUCCAGGUAUGCCUCCUGCUCCACCUCCGUAACCAGGUACACCACCAGCUCCAGCUCCAACUCCAUAACCAGGGACCCCACCUGCUCCAGGUACACCGCUAGGUACUCCUCCUGCUCCGGCCAUGCCCCCUUGACGAGGUACACCACCAACUCCAUAACCAGGGACCCCAUCUGCUCCAGGUACACUGCUAGGUACUCCUCCUGCUCCGGCCAUGCCCCCUUGACGAGGUACACCACCAACUCCAUAACCAGGGACCCCAUCUGCUCCAGGUACACUGCUAGGUACUCCUCCUGCUCCGGCCAUGCCCCCUUGACGAAGUACACCUCCAGCUCCAGCUGGCCAGGGACAGACAGUUCUUAUCUUUGACUCCAAACCACACUGAACCCCCAAACACCUAGGUCCCCCACACUACAAACACUUGAGUCCCCCCACAUCAAACACCUGAGCCUCUCCACACCAAACACCUGAAUCCCCCCAGACCACAAAUACCUGAGUCUCCCCACACCACAAACACCUGAGUGCCCCCUGACCACAAACAACUAAGUUUCCCUAUUCCCCAAACAUGUGAGUCUCCCCACACAACAAACACCUAGGUUCCCCACACUACAAACACUUGAGCCCCCCCACAUCACAAACACCUGAGCCUCUCCACACCAAACACCUGAAUCCCCCCAGACCACAAACACCUGAAUCAUUCAAUACCUGGGUAAUAAAACCUGUUAUGUCACCAAACGUACACUUACCAUCUUCCUAAGGACUAGUUCAUCUAGUCUUACCGUAAACCUACCAACUACCACUUUCCUAAAGGAUGAAUUAUUAAUUCAGUCUUACCAUAUUUAGCAGCAAGCUUGGCCUGGGAAUUAGCUGAUUUGCCUCCAGCCCCUAAAAAUGGAAGAGAAGAAGAGGACAAAGAGGAGGAAUGAAAUAAGCAAAGGAAGAGAAAUAGCAGGGUAAUAGAUAUGGAUUGUGGAUUGUUGUAGUAGUUUUCUAGUGUCCCAACCUGGUCUCAGAGCAUUUCAUAUUAUUCUGUACGUAAAUACGGGACACUCAAUUUAUAGUGAACAAAAUGUCAAGUGUUGGUCCCAUGUUUCAUGAGCUGAAAUAAAAUAAUCUCAGAAAUGUUUCAUUUGCACAAAAAGCUAAUUUCUCUCAAAUGUUGUGCACAAAUUUGUUUACAUCUGUUAGUGAUCCUUUGCCAAGAUUAUUCCAUCCACCUGACAGGUGUGGCACAUAAAGGAGCUGAUUAAACAGCAUGAUCAU